AGUCGAGCGAACAGACGAGGAGCUUGCUCCUCUGACGUUAGCGGCGGACGGGUGAGUAACACGUGGGUAACCUACCUAUAAGACUGGGAUAACUUCGGGAAACCGGAGCUAAUACCGGAUAAUAUUUCGAACCGCAUGGUUCGAUAGUGAAAGAUGGUUUUGCUAUCACUUAUAGAUGGACCCGCGCCGUAUUAGCUAGUUGGUAAGGUAACGGCUUACCAAGGCGACGAUACGUAGCCGACCUGAGAGGGUGAUCGGCCACACUGGAACUGAGACACGGUCCAGACUCCUACGGGAGGCAGCAGUAGGGAAUCUUCCGCAAUGGGCGAAAGCCUGACGGAGCAACGCCGCGUGAGUGAUGAAGGUCUUCGGAUCGUAAAACUCUGUUAUUAGGGAAGAACAAGGAUGUAAGUAACUGUGCAUCCCUUGACGGUACCUAAUCAGAAAGCCACGGCUAACUACGUGCCAGCAGCCGCGGUAAUACGUAGGUGGCAAGCGUUAUCCGGAAUUAUUGGGCGUAAAGCGCGCGUAGGCGGUUUUUUAAGUCUGAUGUGAAAGCCCACGGCUCAACCGUGGAGGGUCAUUGGAAACUGGAAAACUUGAGUGCAGAAGAGGAAAGUGGAAUUCCAUGUGUAGCGGUGAAAUGCGCAGAGAUAUGGAGGAACACCAGUGGCGAAGGCGACUUUCUGGUCUGCAACUGACGCUGAUGUGCGAAA
rnacentral:rRNA from 1 species